UACUAACUCUGGCGGCGUGCUUAACACAUGCAAGUCGAACGGAAAGGCCCUGCUUUUGUGGGGUGCUCGAGUGGCGAACGGGUGAGUAACACGUGAGUAACCUGCCCUUGACUUUGGGAUAACUUCAGGAAACUGGGGCUAAUACCUGCUAGGAGCUCCUGCUGCAUGGUGGGGGUUGGAAAGUUUCGGCGGUUGGGGAUGGACUCGCGGCUUAUCAGCUUGUUGGUGGGGUAGUGGCUUACCAAGGCUUUGACGGGUAGCCGGCCUGAGAGGGUGACCGGCCACAUUGGGACUGAGAUACGGCCCAGACUCCUACGGGAGGCAGCAGUGGGGAAUAUUGCACAAUGGGCGGAAGCCUGAUGCAGCAACGCCGCGUGCGGGAUGACGGCCUUCGGGUUGUAAACCGCUUUCGCCUGUGACGAAGCGUGAGUGACGGUAAUGGGUAAAGAAGCACCGGCUAACUACGUG
rnacentral:rRNA from 1 species